GGCUCUAAUGCAGGGAGACGUGAACGAUGAGAUAUUACGAAGCUAACUCCAUGCUUGGGUGUUGCUAAAAACACGAGUUCAUGCGAUCUGCAAAAUUGAACCAAGAUUGAGGAUGAAGUCUGACAUUUGAAUCCGGCCAAUCAGAACCUUCCAUGCGCUUUUUUUAAAUUUAGUAGCCAUUGACGCCCUAAUUCCUAUUUUUUUAUUUAUUUUCUUUCCCAUUUAAUUUCUCUCUCAUUUAUAAACAUAU
rnacentral:lncRNA from 1 species